rnacentral:rRNA from 1 species
AUUGAACGCUGGCGGCAGGCUUAACACAUGCAAGUCGAGCGGUAACAGAGAGAAGCUUGCUUCUCUGCUGACGAGCGGCGGACGGGUGAGUAAUGCCUAGGAAUCUGCCUAGUAGUGGGGGAUAACUUGCCGAAAGGUAAGCUAAUACCGCAUACGUCCUACGGGAGAAAGGAGGGGACCUUCGGGCCUUUCGCUAUUAGAUGAGCCUAGGUCGGAUUAGUUAGUUGGUGAGGUAAUGGCUCACCAAGACCGCGAUCCGUAACUGGUCUGAGAGGAUUGUCAGUCACACUGGAACUGCGACACGGUCCAGACUCCUACGGGAGGCAGCAGUGGGGAAUAUUGGACAAUGGGGGGAACCCUGAUCCAGCCAUGCCGCGUGUGUGAAGAAGGUCUUAGGAUUGUAAAGCACUUUAAGUUGGGAGGAAGAGCAGUUAACUAAUAUUUGACUGUUUUGACGUUACCGACAGAAUAAGCACCGGCUAACUUCGUGCCAGCCGCCGCCGUAA